GAUGAACGCUGGCGGCGUGCUUAACACAUGCAAGUCGAACGAGAAAUGGCGAUGGAGACCUUCGGGCGGAAGAAUUCAUUUCUAGUGGCGGACGGGUGAGUCAUGCGUGGGUAACCAGCCUCAGACAGGGGGAUAACAGAUGGAAAAGACUGUUAUUCCCGCAUAAGACCACAGCACCGCAUGGUGGGGGGGUAAAAGCUUCGGUGGUAGGAGGUGGACCCGCGUUCGAUUAGCUAGGGGGCGGGGUAACGGCCCACCGAAGCGACGAUCGAUCGCCGGUCUGAGAGGGGGACCGGCCACAUUGGGACUGGGACACGGCCCAAACGCCUACGAGAGGCAGCGGUGAGGACUAUAGGACAAUGGGCGAAACGCAGAUGCAGCGACGGCGCGUGAAUGAAGAAGGACUUCGGUACGGAAAGCACUAGCAGCAGGGAUGAAAAUGACGGUACCUGAAGAAGAAGCCCCGGCUAACUACGUG
rnacentral:rRNA from 1 species